CUCUACACGUUCUCUCUCACGUCUCUUCAAAAUGUAUCAGAGAUCAGGUUCUAUUUCUCACGUCUCUCACAUUCUCUCUGCGAUCAUUGGUACAAGCAAAAGAAAUAGAAGCGGCAACGGAAGCCACUGUUCUUACAUUUCCCUUUCUCAUCCUUUACCAACCGGUGCCCACGACUAUGGCCGAUCGCCUACGAUCAUCCGAUACUCCUCCGGUUGCAAAAAAAACUAUAUAAUCCUCUCUCUCUCGAUGCCGCUCACCACUGAAAAGGAAGAUCAGCAAACAACAAAAACCCACCUCUCCUUGCGACGACCACUACUAUUGCCGGAGACCCAAACCCGAACCCCCUAUUUUCCAUCCUCCUCCCUUUUUCCUCACCCCCCUUCAUCACUGCAGUCCUCUCCUCCUCCUUCCCUUCGAACUGGCAAGGAUUGAAAAGAUAUGUAGUCUAAAGUGGAAAUAGAGGAAUGGACUUGAUAGCCGCGGACAUGGAAAAGAAAGGUAAUAGGAGACUUUGAUUGUCAUAUUCUUUGUGAUUGUAAAGAUAUAACGAUUUGGGUUUGGCCAUUUUCAUGGUUUUUAAGUUUCCUGUUAUUUCUGACCAUGAAGACAGGGAAUUGUUCAUAGUGAUUUGAAGAUUUAUAUAGUAUCAUAUAUGUAAUGUUCAUACUUAAAGAUGGCAAGGAUGUUAUUUGCUGAAUUGUAUGUACGUUUUUGUUGUGCUUUGACAUAACCAUGAAAUGAAGGUCUGUUUGUGUGGAACUGAAUUCGAUUUUUGUUUAAUUUCUUUACAUUCUCAGUGAUUAUACCUUACAAGUCAGAUUUGAUCAAUGUACUGUAAGCAGAACUAGCGUGCAAACAGGUCUUAUUUUCUUGCUUGGUGUAAAUUACAUUUUUUUCGAGAAAUUGUGUAAAUUACAUUGAUGUGUCUUCUUCUUCUGUUAACUUUAUUUGAAUACACUCACUGCCAGUCUGUUGAUUAUGUUGUUUUAGUACCGAUGCUGCUCCCUUCAAACUCGCACUCGGUUAGUAAUUUCAAUAUUUAUUUUUUUCAGUCGCUGUUGAUUAUAUUGAUUAUGUUGUUUCUCUCCUCCUUCUUCCCUUACAGCCCUUCGAACUCGACUGUUGAUUAUGGCUGUUUUUGUUUUUGGCUGUGUUGGGUAUGGCUGGGUUUGUUUUCUGUGAGGGAAAACAAAAUUGUUUUUUACUUCCCUGUAUCAUCCCAAGAUUUAGUCAUGGAAUUCUUGGGUGCUUCAGUUUAUUACUUCCCUGUGUGCUUUAGUUUAUCAGUUUAU